UACUUAAAUACGAGUCUUUAACUUUUAAAGUAAUUUUUUAAAAAAGGCGAAAAGAAAUUAACUGGUUUUUUUAACAUGGCUAUAGAGUAUUUAAGUCAAAACCCGAAUGGAGGUGAACUAUUCCUGCAAAGAUUGAAGUCAGGGGAAACUCUGAUGGAAGAUCGUUGGCGUUAUUGAUGUGCAAAUCAUUUGCUUUAUGUAGGUAUAGGUGCGAAAGACUCAUCGAACCUCCUAAUAGCUGGUUUCCUCCGAAGUUUCCCUCAGGAUAGCUGUAACAUUUUUAAAUAGUUAAGGAUAGUAGAGAAAUGGGUAGAGGUGUAGUGGAACUACGGUUCUGCAACUUAUUUCCAAACUUCGAACGUUCUUGAUAUAAAAAAUUACCUAACAGGAAUUUUUUAUUUAAAUAUAUGUUAUAAGUGGGCUCUGACCGGUAAGCGGUCAUGGCGAAAAGGGAUGAACCUAACGUAUAAAUAAGGUGCCUAAAUUUACUAACAAUGAAACCAUUAAAAGAGUCCAUGUAUUUAGACAGCGGGUCGGUGCCCCUAAAAGCAGGUAUCCGUUAAUGAGUGUGUUAAAACUCCCCCGCCGAAUACUCUGGCCUUGAAAAUGAAUGGCGCAUAUAGUAAUACCGAUAUUAUACAUUAAAAUUAUUUAAAAAUUUUAAAAGUAGGGGGAUGUGGAUAUCUUAGAGAAUUUUUAAUUGUAAAAUUGAAUUGAAAGAUAUCUAUUACAGAUCCUAAUUGAAGUAGCGAUUAUCCAGGUUAAUCUCCUGGGGGCUGAUGAGGAGUAGGGUUUCUGGGCAACUUAAACGGACCCAGAGUUAGUCGAUCCUAAUCAAAUUAAAUUUAGAGAAAGGGAAUAUGAAUGAUAUUUCAUAACUAAAAUUAAUUUUUAAAUGGUGACAUUUUUUUAAACUUAUUUCCAUCAAUUAAAUACUGUUUAAUAGGGAUUUCUUUCCUAUAUAACUUUUUAAUUAAAACUUAAGAAACAGGUUAACUGGAGAAUAAAGUUUUAAUUUAGUAAAAUUAUAAUUUCGAUUAUAAUAACGGCUAUUUAAAUGAUCCAUGAAACAAUAAGUUUAUUUUUUCAAAAAUUAAUUUAAUCGUACCGAUAACCGCAUCAGGUCUCCAAGGUGAGUAGCUUCUGGCCAUUGAGUAAUGGUAAUUUAGGGAAUUCGGCCAAUUAGAGCUGUAACUUCGGGAUAAAGCUUGGCUCUGAUGGAAAUCAGAACCGAUAGUUACAAGGAGAGCCCAACUGUUUAAUAAAAACUUAGUGUCGCGUCAUACCUUUAUAAGUAAUAAACGUGACAUGAAUCCUGCUCAGUGCUGUGUUUGUUAAACUGGAUUAAUCCAUUUAAGCGCCGGUAAAUAGCUGGGGUAACUAUGACUCUUAUCAAAGUAGCGAAAUACCUCGUCACUUAAUUAGUGACCUGCAUGAACGGAGCUAUGAGGUUCUCACUGUCCCAAAUUAUCACUCAGCGAACCAACAGUUGUGGGAACGGGCACAAAUUAUCCAGCGGGGAAAGAAGACCCUGUAGAGCUUCACUUUGGUCUAAUCUUGUAUAGUUUCGUUAGGGGUGCAGUCUAGGUGGGAG
rnacentral:rRNA from 1 species